rnacentral:sRNA from 1 species
AAAAGAUGAGGACUGCGUGGAGAUCUACAUCAAGAGAGAAAAAGAUGUGGGCAUGUGGAAUGAUGAGAGGUGCAGCAAGAAGAAGCUUGCCCUAUGCUACACAGCUGCCUGUACCAAUACAUCCUGCAGUGGCCACGGUGAAUGUGUGGAGACCAUCAAUAAUUACACUUGCAAGUGUGACCCUGGCUUCAGUGGACUCAAGUGUGAGCAAAGUAAGUCUGGUUCUCGCCUCUUUCUUCACUUGAGAUGGUAGCACCGUCUCACGUCCUAGCUGGCAUUAGAGUCAGGUCUGCAUGCCUUCCCUUCCCUGGUGCAGAUGGUGUCAUAUGGUGAUCGUGAGCUGAGACUAUGAAGUCAGACCCUGCUGGGUUUGAGUCCUAGAUUCACCAGUUAUUUAUUUUGGCACCUUGACAAGAUACUUUAACUCUCUAUGUCAGUUUUCUCAUUGUAAAAUGAGGAUAAUAAUAGUGUGAACUUCAUAGGCUCAUGGUUACGUGGUGCCUGGCACACAGGACACAUUCAAUAAACUGUAAUUCUGUGUCCCUGCAAGGAACAU